rnacentral:tRNA from 1 species
CCGGCAGUGGUUGGUGGCAUUGGACGUUGGUCAACCUGCCAACAUCAACCAACAGCUUGCCCAGGGGCGCGGGUUCGAACCUGCCUGCUGGC